ACUCUCUCACUCACUCUCUGGGUUCUCUCUCUCUCUCUCUCUCUCUCUCUCUCUCUCUCAACCCUCUCUAAACCCUAAUCUCUCUCAACCGAUCGAAUCAACCUUCUUCAGCCCCAUUUGAUCUAAUCUCAGAGCGAUUGGUGAUUCAUCUCAGAUCCAAUCUCAGAGCAAUUGGCAAUUUCGAUUUUGAGAUUUCGAAGCUCUACCGCCUACACCAUUUGCACCGACGAGGGGAGCAAGCACCAUCAUCUACUAAGGUUUUCUAUUAUUGGCAAGGGUAAUAGCUGUGACAUUCUGUGUAACCUUAGCAACAUCAUUGGCUGCAAGACUCGGUGCAACACCUAUGGCUGCAUUUCAGAUUUGCUUACAGGUCUGGAUGACCUCGUCGCUUCUUUCUGAUGGUUUGGCUAUUGCUGGACAGUUAUGGCCACGUGCUGUUCUUUUUAAUUUUUCCCCUUUCGAAUAUUUGGGAGAAAUUCUUCUAUUUAAUCAGGGAAGACAAUGCUAUCAUUGCUUGUGCGUUUGCUGAGAAGGAUUAUGAGAAAGCAAAAGUUGUUGCAGCGCGAGUGUUGCAGGUAAACCAUUUUCCAAUUCUUAGUGUACAAAUCGUUCUCUCAACAAACGCAAUUGUUUUGAUACCCUCUUCAAUUUUCAUUAUACAAAGCCUAAACAUGUUUGAGAGGUUUUAUU